AUCAAGAUGAUGAAAAUGGGAAAAUCUUAGGACACCUUCUGACACUGUUCCACCUACGGUGUGUGAGAAAGAUUUUCAUUUCUGAUACUUGAU